UUUCAUACUAUAAAUUAUAAAAAUAUUAUUUAUCCUCAGUUCCUGACAAAACUUUUACAGGUAGGUGUUCAGAGGUUAUUGCUUGUUUAAAAAUCUUUUGGAGGUAUGUUUCCUGAUGCUGCACCUGAUAUUGUUACAAUUAAAAAUAUAUAGCAGUAACACAGGCAUAAUUUUAAGAGUAAGCAUUAGGCAUUCUCACAUAUAGCCUUUACGUGCAAUGCAAAAGACGUGCUAUUUAAUAGAAACAAAAACAGAAAUAUAGUAAAAAUACAAAUAUGGGUAAUUAAGAUAAAAUAAUUUUUUUGCAAGUAAGAAACAUAAAUAUACAGAAAAAACAAUAUACAUUAGGGCAAGUAAUCUAUAAUAGCAUAUUUCUUUACCAUCUUUGGGAGUAAGUAUAUCCAUAUAUAAUUGGUCUAUAUUUAUGACUACAUAUUAAUCUGGUCCUAUUCAUCUAUUUAAGAACAAGGAAUGAGUCAAUUGAAAUUGAGUAAUAAGGAUGUAUAUGCUUACAUUAGCUUCACUCUGCUAGCUUGUUAAGAUAUCUUCAGCAAAUUGGCUUAUAGAACUACUGGGUCAGACUGAGAAUUGGGUUGAUGAUUUAAGGUAAAUUUUUCUUUCUUUCUUUUUAUUCUCAGAAUAAUAUUUAGUUGGUUCCAAUUUCCAAGCCAACUUGAGUACUUGACUCCACCUUUAAGAUUUUUGUAACCCAUACUCUAUUGGUGAACCAGUUUAAAAGUGUCGGGUUGGAUUGACUUGAUGGGUUUGAGUCAAGAUCUUUACUUCUAGUGUCUCUUUUUUUCAUUUGGAACAAAAAGGAGAAAUUUGAUUUUGAAUACACAAGGAAUAGGCAAAAGAACAUUUGAGAACAACAAGCAAGCAGUUCAAUCAUGAGGCCCAAGGGCCAUCACCUUUUCCCCAUGGACAUUUUCCUUCUUUUUGAAUUAUUGCAGGAACUCUUAACACAUUGCUAGAUGUCACUUUAUGUAAUUUUCUUCUUGAUUUAACUUGGCUGCGUUCCAAUCAUGCACACAUGAAGUCUCAAGACGGACCUGUGCCAUAUGAAAGUGGUUCCAGCUUCACACGUAGUACGCUUAUAGCAGUAGUGGGCUGCACUGGUUGUCAUUUGGUAGGACUUCAGAGUCAUCCAUGUUGGAAGAUAUUAGGAUCGUGUCUAGAUUUAUGGCCCAUGAAGCUAAGAUAUUUGAAGGAAAAGUCUUUUGUUUCAUAUGCUUAGCGAUCUGCAAUCCAUUGUUAUUGGUGGAUUGGUCAUAGUGAUGCCUGCAUCAAGUUCUAAUCAUUGAUUUCAGCAUAGAAUUGGCUUCUACAUUGCAUCAUAAUGGCCUUUGAUGACGCAGCCGGGCAAGAAGAUGCUACCUUUAUUGUUUUUGUUCCAUAUCUGAGAUGUUUUAUAACAAAAUGCAGGUAAGUUUUGUGCUGAUGAGCCACAUAUCACGUUCCAGGGGAUCAAAUUUCUCUAUUUUGAAUUCCUACGGUACAUUACUAAUUCAUGUAUUCCCAUGUAGUCUCAUCACAUAUCUGGAAGCCUACCAUCCAAGGAAGGCAUCUGCUAGCAGGCACCAUCCUCUAUAGACAGCUCGGACAAAGGAUGAGAACUUGUGCAGUUUUCUUCUUCAGGUACUUCCUCUAAAUAUGGCUUUGUUGCUUCCAGUUCCAACCUGCUUUUGCUGAUGGAUGCUUCUGGUUGGAUUUUUGGAUCCCCUUCGGAGUAGGUAAAAAUCAAAGCAUUGCUCAUGAUGAAAUAGCGGUUGUUAUUCUUAUCAUAAUUAUCAGUACAUGAAACACCUCUUCUAGGCUAACAGUUAGUAUACCAGAGGAGAUACGGUGUAAUUUGGUAAGAAAAAUAAGAGAGAUUGUAUCAUUUUCCUUUGAUGAAUCAAAGUAUCACAAUGACAAAGGAUUUUUCAAGAGACUUGAUAAUACAAUAUGAUGGUUGCUUUUUUGUUCGAGUUAGCAUAUAUUAUUGCGCAGCUGUGAAUUAUUAUAUUCGACUCCAAUCCAGGUAAAAAUGUUUUGUAUGUAAUAUAUUUUGUCUCAUCUGUUUUCCAUCUCUCCUUUUUGGCAUCUUCCUCUGCUAAAAGAGUUAUCUUUCUGAAGCCCUUUUUAAGGCGUGAACAGUAGGGAGAAAGGACAGAAACAGUGGGGACUUCAGAAACCAAUAGAAGACUCUUUUCUCUCACUUCUGUUCUUUCAUCCUGAUGCUUAUUAAUCUAAUGCAGUGAAAGGUUGUGCGAUUCAUGCUGCGUGGGCCUGAACAGCACAACAGGUUGCACCCGUGAAGGCAGGAAUCAUGCGGCCAAUUACUCGGGCGUGUUACAUUUGUCUUCUUCCUCCUUCCGUUUACUUUGCAUUCACCGUUCAAUUCAUAAACGUUCUUGUCAUCAUGUCUCCUCUGUUACACUUGUACGAUGCUUUUGAUUCUGCACUCUAUGAUGAUGACUACUAUUUGAGGCUUUUGAUCA